rnacentral:misc_RNA from 1 species
ACCCGGGACCUUAGGAUGACGAACCUUGUACUCUACCUGCUACGCCAAUUUGACUCAUCGAUAUGGCAGACAGAAAAUGUGCUACCCACAUUGGCAUUUGCGAGAAUAGGUUUGGGAGUACCAAUGGAAUGUUUGUCCAAAAAUCAAGGAUUAUUUUUUACAAUGCAAGCGGAGAAGAACGAUACUGCUAAAAAUGAGACUCCUAAUGACGAGACGACUUCGAUUGCGAACGAGAUAACAAAUGUGAAGCUGGAAGAUAGUUCAACAAGUUCAACUCCAAGUAGUCCUGGCACUGAAUCAAAUAGCAUUUUAACAAACUUUAAAUCGUUUUCCAAAUUCGGCGAUCCAAAGAGCGAUGGCAAACUGAUUACGUUAAGUCAAAGUGACAAAUGGAUGAAGCAAGCAAAGGUAAUCGAUGGAAAGAAAAUUACCACCACGGACACUGGAAUUCACUUCAAAAAGCACAAAUCCAUGAAACUUAGCCUUGAACAGUAUAAAAUGUUUCUUGAAGACUUGGCCAAAAGUAAAAAAACUGAAUUAGCGGAAAUAAAAAAGAAGAUGGCUAAUUGUGGACCACCUGGGGUUACCGGAGGCGUUGGCGGCAAGUUCUAUGAGAUUCUUUAUUUAAAAGAAAAAUAUUCAAGUAUCAUUUUUGGGCUCUGAAUGAAAUCCGAAGACAUUAAAAAAUCCUCAUUUGUCCGAGAAAUAACGGGAGCAUUGCUAUAAUAAGUAGCUAGGAAACAAUUCGACGUUCCAAGAUAUCCAGAGCUGGGAAAGCAGCAUCAACCGUUGACAGACUCACCGAUGUUAGCAAAUAUACUGGCUCUCACAAGCAACGUUUUGACGAGACAG